GAGCUCUUUGUGAACUCCUGGAUUGGUCUCCACUGCUCUGCCCCUGAUCGCUGAGUGUCCAGUCAGAUCUCAUCCUAUCUAGGAUAUCUUUGAGAAAUAAACAGAUCACCACCCACAUCUCAGAGUAACCGGUAUUUUUUUUUUUUCAGAUUCAAGUUAUCUUUUAUUUCAGAACACCUUAAUUUCUUUUUUUUUUUUUAAGAGUAACCAGUAUUAACCAACGAAUGGAGCACACAUCUGAACAGCAUGACAAAAGUUCAGUGGAUACAAGACCUUGAUGUAAGAGCUCUCUUCUUUUUCUGAAGCGAGCAUUGCUAGAAAUUUCCCUCUUGGCACUGCUUUGACUGAAUCUCAUAAGUUUUGAUGUAAUCGGAAGGACGGAGAGCAAAUUGACGAGGACGAUCCUCUCUCACCGCGUGCCUGCAGAUGCCGCGUCAGCAGCCACUUGCCUUGGUGACUACCUUCGGGUGAGCUCCACACAUGUGGCUCAAGAAAGGCUCCGUGCCCACGAGGUGGAAAAGCAAGCGUCUAGUCUGAGAGAAGACUGUUCCGGGGCCACAUCGCUCUCUGUGAAACGCGCCUGCCGUGCUCCCCAGAGACCUCACAGACCAGAGCACAGCUGCACGCUGCUGUCAGAGAGACCCUCAGGCUGCCGUGUGCAAACAGAGGCUCCAGCCCACAGGCGGACAACUGAACCGCCCUUCUUCAGGCCUCCCGUGGGAAGGUGCACACCUGCCCCACCUUCAUCCACACAAUUCCACUUACAAAGCCACUGUGGCAUUUGGCCCCUGGUUCUGUCCACCUAGUGCGUGGUGCCCCGCAGAAGCCACAAAGGAGUCCGCAGGCCCCACCGCGCCGGGGCAGGGUAAUUGCAGGGCCCGCCACCGGGAGCCCUGGCGUUGCAUUCCUGGUGAUGCCAGGGAAACCCAGGGAAGAAGCAGGAGGCUUCCGAGGGGGCCAGAUCCUGGAAGCCACCUGUGAGGAGGGUGGGCGCGGCCGGCCCAGGUGUGCCCCACGCGGGAGCGCACCCUCGCCUGCACCGUCACCACAUGGACAGGGUGAGACAGAGACCAGGCUGGCUGCAGGCCUGGCCCAACUGCUCUGAAGUCUGUGCCCAGGGGGCAUCCCUGUGCGGUCAGUGCUAGGCCACGUAGCUGGCCGUGCCUGUCCUUCUGAGCCCAGAGGUUCACUGUCUCUUGAUUUCUGUGAAGGACCCUGAAUCUGAAAUAAAAAUCUCUGCCUACGAGCCUGGCGGCUCA